ACUGGUGAGUAACACGUGGGAAACCUGCCCAGAAGCGGGGGAUAACACCUGGAAACAGAUGCUAAUACCGCAUAACAACUUGGACCGCAUGGUCCGAGUUUGAAAGAUGGCUUCGGCUAUCACUUUUGGAUGGUCCCGCGGCGUAUUAGCUAGAUGGUGGGGUAACGGCUCACCAUGGCAAUGAUACGUAGCCGACCUGAGAGGGUAAUCGGCCACAUUGGGACUGAGACACGGCCCAAACUCCUACGGGAGGCAGCAGUAGGGAAUCUUCCACAAUGGACGAAAGUCUGAUGGAGCAACGCCGCGUGAGUGAAGAAGGGUUUCGGCUCGUAAAACUCUGUUGUUAAAGAAGAACAUAUCUGAGAGUGACUGUUCAGGUAUUGACGGUAUUUAACCAGAAAGCCACGGCUAACUACGUGCCAGCAGCCGCGGUAAUACGUAGGUGGCAAGCGUUGUCCGGAUUUAUUGGGCGUAAAGCGAGCGCAGGCGGUUUUUUAAGUCUGAUGUGAAAGCCUUCGGCUCAACCGAAGAAGUGCAUCGGAAACUGGGAAACUUGAGUGCAGAAGAGGACAGUGGAACUCCAUGUGUAGCGGUGAAAUGCGUAGAUAUAUGGAAGAACACCAGUGGCGAAGGCGGCUGUCUGGUCUGUAACUGACGCUGAGGCUCGAAAGUAUGGGUAGCACACAGGAUUAGAUACCCUGGUAGUCCAUACCGUAAACGAUGAAUGCUAAGUGUUGGAGGGUUUCCGCCCUUCAGUGCUGCAGCUAACGCAUUAAGCAUUCCGCCUGGGGAGUACGGCCGCAAGGCUGAAACUCAAAGGAAUUGACGGGGGCCCGCACAAGCGGUGGAGCAUGUGGUUUAAUUCGAAGCUACGCGAAGAACCUUACCAGGUCUUGACAUACUAUGCA
rnacentral:rRNA from 1 species